rnacentral:rRNA from 1 species
AUUGAACGCUGGCGGCAGGCCUAACACAUGCACGUCGAACGAGUGGCGGACGGGUGAGUAAUGUCUGGGAAACUGCCUGAUGGAGGGGGAUAACUACUGGAAACGGUAGCUAAUACCGCAUACCAUCCGAUUUGCCCAGAUGGGCUUAGCUAGUCGGUGGGGUAAAGGCUCACCUAGGCGACGAUCCCUAGCUGGUAUGAGAGGAGGACCAGACACACUGGAACUGAGACAAGGUCCAGACUCCUACGGGAGGCAGCAGUGGGGAAGAUGGCACAAUGGGCGCAAGCCUGAUGCAGCCAUGCCGCGUGUAUGAAGAAGGCCUUCGGGUUGUAAAGUACUUUCAGCGGGGAGGCGUUACCCGCAGAAGAAGCACCGGCUAACUCCGUGCCAGCAGCCGCGGUAAUAC